rnacentral:rRNA from 1 species
ACGGGAGGCAGCAGUGGGGAAUAUUGCACAAUGGGCGAAAGCCUGAUGCAGCGACGCCGCGUGAGCGAAGAAGUAUUUCGGUAUGUAAAGCUUUAUCAGGGACGAAGAACGUGACGGUACCUGAUGAAUAAGCCACGGCUAACUACGUGCCAGCAGCCGCGGUAAUACGUAGGUGGCAAGCGUUAUCCGGAUUUACUGGGUGUAAAGGGCGCGUAGGCGGGGAUGCAAGUCAGGUGUGAAAUCUAUGGGCUUAACCCAUAAACUGCAUUUGAAACUGUAUCUCUUGAGUGUCGGAGAGGUAGAUGGAAUUCCUAGUGUAGCGGUGAAAUGCGUAGAUAUUAGGAGGAACACCAGUGGCGAAGGCGAUCUACUGGACGAUAACUGACGCUGAGGCGCGAAAGCGUGGGGAGCAAACAGGAUUAGAUACCCUGGUA